AGGGAUGGGAGUGCCGGGCCCCUGCGCAGUGGAGCCGCUUGUGCUGGUCGGCGCUGGAGCGAUGGGUUUGUAGGACAUUCCCAACUCUUCGGGAGGGUAGGCACCAGUCGAUUCUCCUCCGGAUUGGCCGAGUCGCUGAGGAGCGCGCGCUCUGAUAGGCGCACCGCCAGGAAGAGCCCGCGGCUCGCACUUGCGAUUGGUGGGGGCGCACGUCACUCGACGCUCCCAGGCCGCCUUCUCAUUGGCCAAGAGUCCCGGCCCGGACCUGCUGCUGAUUGGCCCUCGUCGCGUCGGGCUUCGCACCUGUCUGACCAGGAUUGGCGGGCGGAGGACGACGCCUGCGAUUGGAGGGUUCGGGGAGGCAGGCUAGCGCGCUCCCAGCCCGAUUGGCCCGGGAGGCAGGAGGGCGGGGCCGGCUGGCACCGGGAAAGGAGUCUCCGGUGUCGGGCCGCCUCGGCUCGCGCUGAAGGGUCCGUUCGACGAGGCUCGGCCGCACGCGCCCUGCUUCCGACCGCUUAUGCCGCACCGCUCGUGCUUCCUUCGGCGAGCUCGCGCCGCUGCCCGCGCCGCCUCCGGGGCCGAGCCGCCUCGCACUCUGGGGCAGCCGCCGGAGUCGCCGGAGACGCGCGCCGCCGCUCUCCCUCUUCGGACACUACUGGGCGCGAGGCUGUGACGUCAGGUCGCGCCCCGCCCCGACGCAGAAGCGUCAUCGCGCGCGGUCCCGCCCCUCCUGGCCCGCACGCCCUCGAGGCUCCACCCCGUCUCCGUGGCAACCGCCCCGCCGAACCGUCCUCUCUCGCCCUGGAGACCCCGUUUCCUUGGCUUCCUCAGAAGGCGCCCCUUCAGUGCUUCCCCGAGGCAAUGCUCUUCCUCGUCUACUUCUUGAAGACCCCUCCCCGGAGACGCCCCGCUUCAGGAAACCCCCAUCUCCUUGGACUCUCCCAGGGGACCCCCCCCCUCGGCUUACCCCCUAGGAGCCCCGCGUUCCCGCCUGGAGACACCGCACCCCUUCCAGGAGACCCUGCUUUUUGUCCCUUCCCAAGAGGCCCCCCUUUUCUCUCCCAGGAGGCUACCCCUCUUUGUCCCCCUGGAGAUGACCCCCUCCUCCUCCUCCUCCUCCAGAAGACCCUCCUCCUUUUCCCCCAGUGUACCCUUAUUUAUUUUCAAUCAGGUCCUCAUCCUUAUCCUUCCCCCGCCCCAGACUCUUUAUUCUCUUUAUUCUCCCUUGGAGAAUUCUUUAUCUCUCCCAGGAGAUCUUCCUCCUUUUCUCCCUAG
rnacentral:lncRNA from 1 species